rfam:Haemonchus contortus, ISE/inbred ISE, WGS project CAVP01000000 data, contig: Hcontortus_34009
GGUCUAAAUCUGAAGUAGAGUAAAUUAGUAAGAUCAGCUGAUCCUACUAAUCUACUCUAUUUCAAGAUUGGGCCC